UGCCAGCCGCCGCGGUAAUACGGAGGUCCCAAGCGUUUUUCGGAUUCACUGGGCGUAAAGGGUGCGUAGGUGGCUGAGAUAGUUUGAUGUGAAAGCUCCGGGCUCAACCCGGAAAAUGCAUUGAAUACUACUCAGCUAGAGGAUCGGAGGGGAAAGUGGAAUUCUUGGUGUAGCAGUGAAAUGCAUAGAUAUCAAGAGGAACAUCAGUGGUGAAGGCGACUUUCUGGACGAUUCCUGACACUGAGGCACGAAGGCUAGGGGAGCAAACAGGAUUAGAUA
rnacentral:rRNA from 1 species